rnacentral:sRNA from 1 species
AGUCACUUCUUCCUUCAACCCAGCCACCUUCCAGUCACUACUGAUCCCCAGGGAUAACCGGCCGCUGGAGGUGGGCCUUCUGCGCAAGGUCAAGGAGCUGCUGGCGGAAGUGGAUGCCCGGACGCUGGCCCGGCAUGUCACCAAGGUGGACUGCCUGGUUGCUAGGAUACUGGGCGUUACCAAGGAGAUGCAGACCCUAAUGGGAGUCCGCUGGGGCAUGGAACUGCUCACCCUCCCCCAUGGCCGGCAGCUACGCCUAGACCUGCUGGAAAGGUGAGACAGCGCCGGCACCCGGGGACUCGCGGGGAACCCCCGGCUACCGCACUCCCCGCUGGCCGGGGCGGGUUGGCCAAUCACAGCCUCAGCUCGGCUCCCAGGAGCUCUGGCCACGCCUCCCAUCCCGUUGACCAAUCGCAAGCCCUGAUAACCCGCUCUAAACAGGCUGAUUUCCCAAAGACUGAA